ensembl:lncRNA
GAACCUGAGACAGCCCUGACUGUGAACCUGAGCCAGCCCUAACUGUGAACCUGAGCCAGCCCUGACUGUGAACCUGAGCCAGCCCUGGCUGUGAACCAGAACUCCCACAAGCGUUGGAUGUUUGCUUUCAAAGUGGCACAUUCAUUUUGACGGCUUCAAUGCUUUGUUGGAGAGCGUUAGUCCACACUCCACACACUGGGCUCUCGGCUCCGCCUCAUUACCUCCGUUUACGAAGCCGUACUUAAUAAAGUCAGGACGGUAUUUGCGCACAAGUUUGGACUUUUGAUGGCACAAAGAAUAUCGACAUCCAUUUGUGCAUCCGGUGAGGGGUAAAUGGGGGACAUUACGGCAAAGAGAAAGAUACCCCAGGUCUAAAUCAGGGUCGCCCCAACCCAACAGAAUCCACAAUCAUUUAUCACUCUGCCAUUUCCUAAAAGGAAUGUCAUUCUGCGGGAAAUCAAAACAAAAUCCCAAACAAGCUUCUUCUCUGGCAAUUUUCAUCCAUUUACUUGUCAGGCUGAGCUUUUAAAGACGCCAGACUUCAGCUGACACUCUUCAGCAGGCAAACAAAUUACAGAGCAACUCUUCAGCUGAGGACACAAAGACAAUCACAGACUCACAUUCACGUUCAUCCUUCAGUCAACAAACGCUGCCUUCGUGGUUGGCCCUUCAGCUGGUAAAUAUGAGCGCACGAGAGGGGGUCUUUUGGUUUAAACGCGGCAGCUAAUGAAUCUUUUACUCACCUCAGAGUGCUCAAACAAGGGACAAGAAGACUGGCAAACUGGUCAAUAAUCAGAUAUAAAAUAUGGCGAAUAACUCUCUUGAAAACCCGGCAAUCUCCUGUGAAAAGAGCAAAGAUAUUGUGUUUAUAACUUUGACGUUUAAUUCAUUUAAUUCAAUUAAUUUUAUUUUGUAUAGACCAAAAUCGCAAAUUACAAAUUUGCCUCAGAGGGCUUUACAGUCUGUACACAUACAACAUCCUCUGUCCAGAAACCCUCCAUCGGCACAGGAACAACUCCCCAAACAAUGAAAAAACCUUCCAAGAGGGAAAAAAAGGGUAGAAACCUUAGUGAGAAGGUCAGAGGAGGGAUCCGUCUCCUGAUGGACAGACUACAAUGGAUGCCAUGUGUACAGAACAAUGUAUAAUACAUGCAAUUACAUGACAUUGUGUUCAUCACCAUGGUUUGUGAUGGAAGAUUUGCACAGACAAUCGGAAAAUCUCUGUGGGUAACAUUUUAUUAACAUUUUAUUAACACAUUAACAUUAAUUAAUUUCUGAAUCAAAUGUCUUUCUCCAUUUAUUUCCUUGCUAGGAGACAAGGGUCACAACAGCUACGUGCUCAGUAGACUGUUACACAUUUUUGUCCCAUCACGUUAUUUUACAUUUAGUUUCUAGGCUCGUCUUAAAGGGAAGAGAAGUUUAAAGCAAGAUUAAAACUAAAGUGAAUGCAAAGAAGCAGGUAAACAUGAUAGAAGUGUUCCUGACUGCCACGCCCACCUGUGUCAGCGGGUCAAAGGUAGCAAAGGAAGCAAAUAGAGGGUAAACUAAAUCGGUCCAAGCCCAGAACCUUCUGGGACUCUGUGACCAACAUUGGUGGUCAUCGCUGAUCGACCAUUUACAAACACCAACUGGAUCGAUCCAAUAAAUACGACUAAAACCAGCUGAGGGCGGUUUGUUUAAUACCAGUCAAAUGUUCUAGUCUCUGCAACAGGAUACAACGAUCAAUUGUGUCAAAUGUGGCACUGAGGUCCAGUAAGACAAGAAAAGAGAUGAGUCCUUGGUCCGAUGAUUGAAACAUGAAAGAAAAAGUCAUUCAAAAAACAACGUUAAAAAACUAAAAAUAGAAUAAAUUCUGCAGUGUAGUUUAAAAGUACCAAAAUACUAAACACAGUAAAUUAAAAGCAGCAUCCAACAGAAGUCUUUAAUCUAGAUUUAAAGGAGCCGAGGGACUCCGAAAAGUACAGCGAGAACAAAGUGAUGUUAAUAUAUUUUAAUGCUGUGUUUAUGAAUACACAUCCAAGUUUGCCGAUCUUUGUUCUCUAUUUGUGUUUGAAGCAGAACAGGAGGAGAUCCUUUGUUCUUCUGAAGGGUUGGAAGAUUCUAUGAUAUAAAUAGCUCUUACCCACAGACGUUUGUCAUGGACAACUUGAUCUCCAGUUGUGAAUACUGAAGGUCACAAUAAUCUCACUUUUGUAGGACACCCGAGGAGUUGAAAGCUCCUGCUGAAGUCACUCUGGAGACUGAAGAUGACUUCCUCAUCAUCGUCCUCUUCCUCUCUCGUCACAUCUGAGUCUUCACAGGUAACUCUCUUCUGUUCCUUCUUCCUUAUUUGAGUCUUUUUUUAAUGAAGUAGAGCGUUGCUUCUCUUACAGCUGGACCUCCGUACUGGAGAAGCAUCUGGAAACUCUAACAAACACCUGUCACUAAAAGCAGUAAAGCACAGAGUGGGAAAGCAACUAAAUGAAGCUUAGGCGAAAAAACGGUUCUCCUCUCUUGUGCCGUCAGUUGUCAUUUCAGCUCGCUCCAAAGGUGACCCGCCACCACCCCCAAAGGUGACCCGCCACCACCGCCAAAGGUCACCCGCCACCACCCCGGACACCUCCAGUCUACAGCAGAACCUGGCGUAGCAGGAGAAUUAUGCAACGUGGGCUCUACCACCACCACCAGUGUCUGGACUCCCAAGGGGGGGAUGUGCCUCGUCUCGGCUCGAGAUCCCGGCCCCGGCUCUAUUCUGCGGCAGGAUGGAGUCCAAGCCCCAAACAACUUGCAAUAUCAUAUUAUACCUGUUAUAAUAAAGCAUUAUUCAAAUUUCAACAAGUCUCUCCGGAUUGAAUUACAUUUACUCAAAGGAGGACCAUUAUGAUGUACUCUUCUGUUUUCAGCUUCCUCCUGCCAGACAUAACAAGACAAAAUGAUGUCAAAAAGACUGUAAUUACAACAACAGGAUGUCCUGAAAACUGUGACAAAAACAACAAGAUGUUCACCAGACUGUGAUGAAGACAGAGCGUUCUUGAGAGAGGAGGAUGUGCCCUCAGGAUGAAGACCAUCGGGUGUCAGGGUAUUCAAUUGUAUAUUACUAAAGCUCGCUCAAUCACACACGCACCCCGCGCACACACACACACACACACACACACGCACACGCACACGCACACACGCACACACACACACACAUGCACACCCCCCGCGCACACACACGCACGCACACACGCACACACAUGCACACCCCCCGCGCACACACACACACGCACCCAUGCACGCACCCACACACACACGCACACACACACACCACCCCGCACGCACCCACACACACACGCACACACACACACCACCCCGCACACACACACACGCACACACACACACACACACGCACCCAUGCACGCACCCCGCGCGCACACACACACGCAUGCACCCCGCGCGCACACAUACACACACACACACGCACCCAUGCACGCACCCCGCGCGCACACACACACCCCCGCCCCCCCCCCUUUUACAUACACACAAACAGACGCACCCCAGGCCCUUUCGACCUCACCAUUCACAGAUGAAAGGAAACAGGUUUAAUUGUUUCAUGUGUAAUUCUUUUGGUUGCAGAACAAAAACAGCUCAUGUUCUUUUGAGGAUUCAUGUUUUCAGUCAGCAAUGUUCCCUUUAGCAUUAUAUUGUAUAAAAAAAUAUUCCUAUCUUUAUAUGUAUAGAGGUUAUAUAUCUGUAUACUAUAACACGGGUAGAUGCAAUCCAGUGUUCUGAUUGGUUGAGAGUGAGUCAUGGGGGCUCUAUAAUUGGGCGAUAAUGUACAGUACCUGUUCACAUUGACCGAACGUUCCACAUCACUGCGCACUCAAAGUAACAGGUUAGCUUUCGCGCGACUGAUUGACAUUUUAGCUUUUAGCUCGGUGCCGAUCGCAGAAAAAAGACCGAAAAAAGUCCCACAAAUGAUCAGUUUCAGGCAAUGCGAACUUUUGCAACCGGACAAUUAAGGUGGACGUCAUCGAAUGAACCCAAUGCGGUUUACAUGCACGUACAGGGAGUAUUUUUCUGUAGACUACUGAAAUGAGAUACACAAUGUUUGGUGGCUACAACUAUUUUGUGCUAAAAGGCAACUAUUUACUUAAUAUUUAUAAUUUCGCUGGUACCGUAUUAUAAAGGCAACUUAUUGCUUAAAUCUACAGAGGUUAUAUAUCUGUAUAUCUAUAGAGGUUAUAUAUCUUUAUACCUACAAAUGUCAUAUGUAUACCUACAAAGGUUAUAUAUCGGUAAGGUUGUAUGUCGUUAUGUCACAAAGUUGAUCGCACUUUUUUUUCAUCUUACCUGCAUGUUUUCUUACUCUUGUCAUUUCAGAUCAUCCCACAUUAUGAGCUCAUUACGCACACCUGGUUCUCACCUGCAGCACAUCCACUCAU